AGAGAUGGGGAGCAUUGGUCAAUCACAAGGGCCAACAGAGCCUGCACUAGAAGUCCAGGGCUCAGCCAGUAGAUGUCUCUGUUAGACUCACUACAGUGAAAUGUUCAUGCCCCCUUGGGGGGAUGCCAGCCCUUUUGGGCUCAGUGUAGCCUGUUUGCUAAAUCUACAUUUUUGUCCAAAAUCUUAAAACUAUAAAAAGAAAACCUGGCACUAGUUGUACCAUACUUGAGUUCCAGUUUAUACUGUCAACUUUGGAGCCUGGUUUCUAUUUAGAUCACCCAAUGAGAUUCAAGGGCUCACUCACUCUCCUGAUGGAGAGAGGGUUACUCUCCCCUUUACUCCCCCUACAUAAAAUAUAACCCUAUGUGCCACCUCCCUUCUCCAGGGAAACUGAAGCUAACACUCACCUCAUUGUCUGCUGAGAGGACAUCUGCUUUGCUAUGCAGGCUUUCACCAGGACAAAUUUAUGGUCGUUGGGAAUCAUAGGGAGCUUUUUGUGUGUGUGUGUGAUCUCUUAUGCAACACAUUCAAGUAAGUGAUCAAAUCUGUGAAAUGUGCCGGAGAUGAAAACUGUCACCAGAGCAAGAAGGAAGGUGUGUAGAUGUGUUCUCCAAAGCAAAGAGUGCUCGCUACCAACUCAUUUUUGUUUGAUGUACUUCAGUGGCUUUGCAACCCAGAGAAGCAGUUUCUUCAGGGUUUUGGCCCCAGAACAAAAGAUGGGAAUGUGUCCGGAGUUGGUUCCUUCUGGUGGAUUUGUGGUCUCGUUGACUUCAAGAAUGGAGCCGUGGACAUUCAGGACUUGGCAUCACUACCCCUAACUUUGUUUUCCGGCAUUUCCCAAAAUGUUCCCAUUUGGUUUCAACAUGUAAGCAACAUGAAGCCUAUGGAAUCAGAAAUGAGAAAAGGAGGCAGUCACACAGACAUGCAAAAAUGCACCAGCAGAGUGCACCGACUUAAGGGGCUUUGAAAGAAUCAGGUAUUGGACUACCUGAGCCUGUCUUCUUUGCAUGUCAUUCUGAUUUGCUUUCCACGGAGACAACAACCCAUCUAUGGAAAAUUUGGGUAAUUUUUCAAUCGAAUACUGCAUUGCUGAUAUAGGAUGAAGGAAAUGAGUGGCAAGGUUGCUGAGAGACAGAGACUGCAAGUCUAAUAAAAUUAUAUUGGGCCUACCACCCACUUCUAUUUCAGAUUUCCAUAGCAUUCUUUGUGAAGUUACUCACAAAAGAAGUACUAAGUUGCUGUGGGGUGUGUGUGUGUGUUUAUCUUACCAGCUUUGUCUGAUAUUUAAAUUUUGUUCGAGUAAAAGAAUAAAAAGUACACAUGCUCUAUGAGUGGAACCUCUCUAAUGGAAUAUUUUAUCCCCAGCCCCAUAUGCAAAGCUCUUUAAAUGGUUGACCCAGAAGUCUGACCUCCUGACACGUUUCAGUCUUUCUGUUCAUCAUUGGUACCAUAAGCAGCAAGAAUUUCCUUCAGCUUUACUGCUGACCCUGGAAGUCACUGUACUCUCAAAACUUUAUCUACAAGGGCGUGAAGAUUGUUUCUUCAAAACUCUUAGUCACAGCAAAUACUUUCCACGUGUGUACUGCCGUCAACAUUGUUGCCUAUUUGGUAGCUUUUGAUGGAAAGAAACUGACAAGUUUCUGCCUCACACCUGACUUGAGAAAGGCCCUUAGAUACUUACAAUGGAAAUUGUUUGGUGUGUUGCAGUUAGAUACAAAUGGUACUCUAACUUUCCAAGAAGCUCUGUUGCAACAUGCAAAACAAACAAAAGAAAGGUAGCAAAACUCUUCAAGCAGUUACAAAAUUGUUAUGCAAAAGCAAAAGCAAGAACAGAGGGUAACAGAAUUCAUUUAACUGUGAAAGCUAAAAACAAAAGAACUGAAGACAGCUAAUCACAAAUUUUGUCAACUGUUGAUAUUUUGUUUUUAUUCUCUCUUACUAAAAAUGCACUACAGCACAUGUUUUUCCUUAUACAUGUAUACAUUUCUUCCUCAGUUGGACUAAGAAUAAAGUAUUGUGCAAACAGUAGGUGCAUGAAAAUUCCAGUCCACUAACUGACUUUAAAAGCUGUGGGAUUCUACAAAUUGACCCAUUAAGCAGCUGUUCCCAGUUUUGUCCUGUGAACACUAAAAUGCAAGGUGACACCUCACAUAGGUUUGGUAGUGAUAAUUUUGUCUAGUGUUGAGUCCAGGAUUCCAAAAUUCUAGCCAGAGAACAGGAAGCUAGGAACAUAGGGGCUGAGAUGCCUGAAGAUUUGACCUUCCAUACUAUUUUAUAAAGGAACAUUUAUAGUUUAUUUACUCGAGGUUGCUGGCGGGGGGAGGGGGGGUGGCAGGGGGAGCAGUGAUUGUGUGCUGUAAACCUUUAGGAGUAAAACAACUUAGCAAUAUGCUUUGGUGUAAUUCAAUUUAGUUGAAUGAGCAAUUUCCAUUUUGGAGUUUAACUUUCAUGUUAAACUGUUAAGCUGAUAUGUUCUGUGACUUUGGCCGAAUAACUUUAACUCAUCCAUUGUCAUAUCUAUGAAAAGGGGGAAACAAUAUUUCACUGGAAAUUUUCCCUAGAGUUCCAGAAGAUGAGAAUUCUGGCCUUGGUAUCUAUAAGCACUCAGAAGACUUGAGCUGGGAGGUUCUCGUGCAUUCUUGGCAUAAUGGCAGCAGGGAAAAGAAUUCUGAAGAGAGGCACAGCUGCAGAGAGAAGCUUUCUCAGCACAAAGCAAGAGUCUGGCCUCUUGAGUCUCUGAAACACUCAAAUUCACUGAACGCAGACGACGAGGAGGAGGACUAUAUAUACUUACAUAUUGAUCUGCAUGCUGGGGUUUCAAAUGUGAUUCAUUAUGUACCAUUUCCUUUACCCUAAUCCAUCUGCUAAGGUUUUCUUCUCCUGUGCAGAAGGAAUUUGAAAAAGAAAUGUGACUUUAACUGAGAAGAGAGUAACAGCAUGACAUAGUUAGCACCACCUGCACUAAGAAAGAUUCAAGAUGGUAUUUGUCAAAUAUUGGAAGAUGUGUGUCUGCUAGCUGAGGGAUAACGGGAUGUUUUCAGAGACUGUUUUAAAGUUCUAUGGCCAAGAAAAAAAAGCUGCAUUUGCUUCUUAUAAUAGUGGUUAUCAUUUCUCUUGUGAAAUGUUUAUCUACUGAUGAUCUCACUAUGGCUUCCUUUGGAUUGUCUUCUUGUUUUAUUUUCUCUCACUAGAAAAAGCAAACAUCUUGGUUCCUGUCUCUUUCUAUUAUAAGUACUAAGCAUGUGGAAAGUUAAAACAAAGGCUGCACAUUUCCAAGGAACUGGAUAAGUACAGUCAAGUGGAUCCUAAUGGGAAUACCACAGUGUGGGCAUUGGUACCACAUGCUUGUUGAUUUGGAAAGAAGCGGGAAGAAGAGAUGGAUAAAGAUGAGAAGGAGGCGGAGUAAAGAGAAAAGGAAAUUAAGUAAACACUGAAGAGCAAUAGCCCCUUAGUUGGGAGUGAAAAAAACACUACUCAGUUCAAUUUAUAGCCUGUCAACUAUGCUUUAUGUAUACAUAAUUCCUAAAUUUCGUAUGUUGAAAUCAGCUAAUCUUCUAUCAGGAAUAAACAAAAUCAUGUAUCCUACCUAUAUGGGUAUUUAAGUUUUUAGUCUGCUGAUUUGUUUAUUAUCCACACAUAUUGAAAUGUACUGACAUCACAAAAUUGUAUUCGAGACAGGGUCUGCUCUAUAGCUAAGGUUGGAGUGCAGUGGCUCGGUCAUAGUUCACCGCAGCCUCAAACUCCCAACCUAAGAUGAUCUUCCUGCCUCAGUCUCCAGAGCAGCUAGGACAACAGGUGCAUGCCAUCACACCCUCAUAAUUUUUUGUAUUUUUUUUUUUUUUUUUUUUGGUAGAGACAAACUCUUGCUAUGUUGCCUAUGGUGGUCUCGAACUCCUGGUCUCAAGUGAUCCUCCUGCCUUGGCCUCCCAAAGCACUGUGAUUGCAAGCAUGAGCCAUUGUGCCCAGCCCCAAGGUAUUUAUUCUAGCUUUAUUUUUUUUCUUUUAUUCCUGAAACAAAAAAGUAAUAAAAUUAUAUUACUAAAACUUUGGAAAAUAGAGAAAAUGAGAACAAAAUGUAUCCAUAACCUAACCCAGGACUACCACACAACUGUUCAUGUCGGCCUUUCACCUUUUUGUUCCUUCUCUUUUUACCCAGCGUUUUUACAUAAAUGCAUUUAUUCAAAUAUAUAAAUACAUCAUACAAAUAUUCCGUUUUA
rnacentral:lncRNA from 1 species